rnacentral:tRNA from 1 species
GCCCCUGUGGCGGAAUGGCAGACGCGGCAGACUCAAAAUCUGUUUCUCGCAAGGGAGUGGGGGUUCAAGUCCCUCCAGGGGCACCA